CGGUCCUUUAACUCGGGGCUGCGUAAUAACCACCGAGCGCUUGGAAGACAAACGAUGUCAUCUUCCUUCUGUCAGAAACUCCUGCAGGUUAAACUUACUCUCAACUAAUUAUAAACUAUAAACAGAAUGAAACUGGUGCUUUCAAUACAAAAUCCCAGCAACUACUUUUAGGAUGUUACUUCUAGAAAGAAAUAUCAUCUUAUAUUCAGACUAAAUAAAAAGUCAGAGAAAGAGAAUCUCACCACAGACGUAGUGCGGACAGCAGGAGUCCUGCCUGUAGUCCGAAACCAGCUUCUCCCCGUACUUACACUCAGGAGGGACCAGGUCACACAGGCUCUGGUUACAAACUGCAGAGCCACAAAUCACAUCUUCAACAUUGGAUUUUCUAAUUCUACACCAACUUUUUCAGUUUGAACAUUUCAAACUUGCCGCCUCACCGCAGACUCUCUGUGGGCAGCAGCUGGUGUAAAGCUUCAGGGGGAGAAAGCCACAAGACCUCAACCCCCACGUACAUUUACCAAACACCAACCGCAGGCUCCAGACCGGCCUCGGUCCAGGAGGUGACACCCACCAGCCUUCGCCUCCACCGACCCGCUGCUGCCGACUCUCCGCGCC